rnacentral:rRNA from 1 species
UACGUAGGGUGCAGGCGUUGUCCGGAAUUAUUGGGCGUAAAGAGCUCGUAGGCGGUUUGUUGCGUCGGCUGUGAAAUCCCGAGGCUCAACCUCGGGUCUGCAGUCGAUACGAGCAAACUAGAGUGUUGCAGGGGAGACUGGAAUUCCUGGUGUAGCGGUGAAAUGCGCAGAUAUCAGGAGGAACACCGGUGGCGAAGGCGGGUCUCUGGGCAACAACUGACGCUGAGAAGCGAAAGCAUGGGGAGCGAACAGG